rnacentral:rRNA from 1 species
GCUUAGCAUGAAGUGAAGCACAUACACCUGCUGAAUUUAAGCAUAUAAGUAAGUGGUGGAAAUUAAACCAAAUGGGAUAUCUUUAGUAAUUGCGAAUGAACAAGGAUAUGCUUAGCUUGACAAAUGGAGCUAUUGGCUUUGAAUUGUAUUUGUGGAAUGUAUUACCAACAGAGGUGCAGGUGCCAGCCUAUUAAAUAAAGCGUCAAUGAGGGUGAGAAUCCUGUUUGUCAUGUGCAGCCCUUUGUGCACGGUGUAUAUUUGCUGAGUCACACUCCUUGGCAUUGGAAUGCAAAGUGGGUGGUAAGUUUCAUGUAAAGGUAAACAUGCAACUGAGACUGAUAGCACACAAGUGCCAUGAGGGAAAUAUGAAAAAGGUUUUUGAAAAGAUAAUAAAAUGAGUUUGUAUUUGCUGAACACAAGGUAAACAGACUUGAUUUGCUUGGUGGGAGUGUUGCACUUGCUUGACAAGGGCUUUGGGCUGUGGGUGUAAUGAUUCUUUCUUUGCAUGCCAGUUUCUAUUUGUACAUCUGAUUACCUUUGCACAUGAAUGAUAAGUCUCCUGUGGGGGGUGGAUUGCAUGUGCAUGUAAUGAUUUGUGUUUUGAUAAAUGUGUCUGGUGUAUGUGUGUGUUCCUGUGCUUGGGGAUGCUUCCUUCCUUGGACUUACAAGCCCUGACACACACAUGCUGGCAAAAUGCUUCUGCUUGACCCGUCUUGAAACACGGACCAAGGAGUCUAACAGAUGUGCAAAGUUUGAAGGUGGUAUACCUUUGUGUGCAAUGAUAGUGUCAGCUGGGAUAUGUGCACCAGCACCCAUUUAAUGAGCGGACUGAGGUUUGAGUUGGAGCAUAUCUAUUAGGACCCGAAAGAUGGUGAACUAUGCCUGAACAGAAUGAAUUCAGAGGAAACUCUGAUGGAGGUUCGUAUCGAUACUGACGUGCAAAUCGUUCGU